GACGAACGCUGGCGGCGUGCUUAACACAUGCAAGUCGAACGGGAAGGCCCUGCUUUUGUGGGGUGCUCGAGUGGCGAACGGGUGAGUAACACGUGAGUAACCUGCCCUUGACUUUGGGAUAACUUCAGGAAACUGGGGCUAAUACCGGAUAGGAGCUCCUGCUGCAUGGUGGGGGUUGGAAAGUUUCGGCGGUGGGGGAUGGACUCGCGGCUUAUCAGCUUGUUGGUGGGGUAGUGGCUUACCAAGGCUUUGACGGGUAGCCGGCCUGAGAGGGUGACCGGCCACAUUGGGACUGAGAUACGGCCCAGACUCCUACGGGAGGCAGCAGUGGGGAAUAUUGCACAAUGGGCGGAAGCCUGAUGCAGCAACGCCGCGUGCGGGAUGACGGCCUUCGGGUUGUAAACCGCUUUCGCCUGUGACGAAGCGUGAGUGACGGUAAUGGGUAAAGAAGCACCGGCUAACUACGUG
rnacentral:rRNA from 1 species